GAUAGUACCUUACUACUUGGAUACCCGUAGUAAUUCUAGAGCUAAUACAUGCAUCAACGCCCAAUCGGGCCGCGUUUAUUAGAUAGAAACCCAUAUUUUUGGUGAAUCAUAAUAACUGUGCGAAUCGCAUGGGUUUACCCCGGCGAUGAAUCAAUCAAGUUUCUGCCCUAUCAGCUUUCGAUGGUAGGGUAUUGGCCUACCAUGGCGUUAACGGGUAACGGAGAAUUAGGGUUCGAUUCCGGAGAGGGAGCCUGAGAAACGGCUACCACAUCCAAGGAAGGCAGCAGGCGCGUAAAUUACCCAAUCCUGACACAGGGAGGUAGUGACAAUAAAUAACAAUGCCGGGCUUUUUCAAGUCUGGCAAUUGGAAUGAGAACAAUUUAAAUCCCUUAACGAGGAUCAAUUGGAGGGCAAGUCUGGUGCCAGCAGCCGCGGUAAUUCCAGCUCCAAUAGCGUAUAUUAAUGUUGUUGCAGUUAAAAAGCUCGUAGUUGGAUUUCUGGUGGGAGCGGCCGGUCCGCCGUAAGGUGUGUACUUGGUUGUCUCCCGUCAUCCUUGUGGGAACUGCUCUGGCAUUAAGUUGUCGGGGUUAGGGAACACAUCGUUUACUGUGAAAAAAUUAGAGUGUUUAAAGCAGGCUUAUGCCGUUGAAUACAUUAGCAUGGAAUAAUAAGAUAGGACUUUGGCGUCUAUUUUGUUGGUUUGCACACCAAGGUAAUGAUUAAUAGGGAUAGUUGGGGGUAUUCGUAUUUAAUUGUCAGAGGUGAAAUUCUUGGAUUUAUGAAAGACGAACUUCUGCGAAAGCAUUUACCAAAGAUGUUUUCAUUAAUCAAGAACGAAAGUUAGGGGAUCGAAGAUGAUUAGAUACCAUCGUAGUCUUAACCAUAAACUAUGCCGACUAGGGAUUGGCGGUCGUUCAUUUAUGACUCCGUCAGCACCUUAUGAGAAUCAAAGUCUUUGGGUU
rnacentral:rRNA from 1 species